CUCUAUCUCAUUUAACUUGGCCUUUGGAAGACGCUUGUGGAAAUUUCUGCAAAGGAGGUGACAUCAGUUGUUGUCACAGCUGCUGUACCUUACAUUUCCUGUGAAGGAGGAACUCUGUGCUGUCCCCAUGGAAUGGGAAGGACUUGGAUGCUUCACUAAGACUUCUCCCUUCACCCUUGAUGAGCAGGUCCUGUGUUGUGUGGAGGCGUGCAGCAAUCUGGUCUGGAUGGAGAAAAUACCUCAGAAAACCCAAGAGGAAUGUUUACUUUGAAAGUUUCUCUCAUGAGUUUGUUUAAUCUUUCUAGUUAAAAAAAUUUCUUUAAAUAUAAAAUAAUGAUAAAUCCUGCUGGGAAAACCAAUUCCAAUGUGAUAAAACUCCUACAGUGUGAAGCAAGAACCACUCAAUUCAACUGCAAGGAGAAGGCAUGUUAUUUAAUCAAACAGAGGGUUAGAGAACAGCAUCAAAUAUGCAUUUUUAAAUUUGUUUCCAUUUCUUUUCUAGUCCAUUACACAGAUUUAAGUUACAUCUUGUGCAUCUUGUGGAAGAAAAUAGGUGUCCUAAUAGAGCCUUUGAAUAUAGUUAAAAUAACUUUAACAAGGCUACAGUAGGUCAGUGGCAGCACUUGGAAAAGAAGUUAGUUGAUGUUUUGCCCAGUUCUGUAUAUUUUAAUUAGCAAACUGGCCUGCCUCCCUGAAUUACAAUGGCAUUGUGAUACCUAAAUGUUCAGAAUCCUGAGCUUUAUAUAUUAACAUAGAACAUUUCUUGAACAGACUUAUAGCAAGAAAAUAUUGCAAGAAAUAUUGCAAUUUUCUUAUAUACCAAGAAAAUAUUGCUAUAGCUUCUUUACCAGUUGUGUCCCAGACUGCUUUUUACAUAGUAUUCAAGGAUGAUCUUGACAACAUAAUUAUCUUUUAGGGAAUAUAAAAUACCAGAGAUUAAAAUGGACAGAUCUGGAUAGGGCAGGAAUUUGCUAGCAGGAUGAUGUUCUAAAACCACUUUUGAAAAAUUAACAUGUUAUGAAAAUAAAUUAUUUUUUUAACAUUGUGCUGUUUUAUUUUUCUUUUAGAAAAGAAAAUGAAGCCUUCCGUUAUAGGACUAUUUAGUUUUGACUUUAUGUUAUCAUUAAAUAAAAAUGAUACCAGAACUGCAGAGGUAACAACUCUUCUGAAAGGCUGAGUCAACAGGAAAGAGAACAGUGAUCAGUGAAUAAAAGAAAUCUGGGAUGCCUUCACUUCAGAUAUUCAGUAAGGAAGAGGAAACAGCACAGGCCCUGCAGUGACCUUACUGUUGGGUGAUUCCAGGGAGCCACCUCAUUAUUCUGACUUGAAACUUCUCCAUCUCCAAAAUCAGAGAAAAACAUAGUAAGGAAACCUGAAGUGUUUUCCCUGUGCUUCUGCCAUGUCUAUAGAUUGUUUUUGGAGUGACUUCAAAGUGCUUUUCUCUAGACUGCACAUCAGUGCAGCUCUACCUGAGAGGACAGUUCCAUCAGAGAGCCGGCUUGUCUGCCUCUAUCAAACCCUGCAGUCACCUGUUCCAGGUACACAUUUAGUGUUCCCCAGUGAAAACCACAAUUUCACUUUGGUUUGAUGAGCAUGCUGUGAUUCCACUGUGAAUGCAGCUCAUCUUCCACAAAAAGAAGAAUAAGCUGUUUAAGGGCUAUUCCUUUUUAAGAACAAUACACCCCCGCCCCCCAACAACAACAAAAAGUAAAAAAGAGCCCCUAGCAAACUGCUGGAGGAAGGAUUUAUCGCCUCUGAGCGCAGCCAAGCACCGAAGCAGUCAGUCUCAGAUCCCCUCCCACAGAGCUGUACGCUGUGUCAAUACCUCCCUCUGCUGAAAGCUCGACAUUCUUCCUCUCCCGCUUGGCCGCCUUUGCUGUGGCAGAACUUGCGGAGAGCAGAAGGAAUCUGCGACACACACUGGAGCAGCCCUCGCUGCAACACAGCUGCCCUGCCGAGACUGCACCCUCUGGGGAGUGCAGAAACUUCAUCCGUUUGUCCCUCCCCAGCGGGACUGUGUGCAGACUAAAAUCUGAGAUUAGGGAAAGAUUAUAAUUUGGAGUCAGAUGACUUUUAAAAAUACUCUUUCAGGAACUCCUGUGAUGGGAUUCAGUCAUUGUAAAAGGACAAUCCGUUUGAAGGCAAUUCUAACUGUGUGUGCCUUACAAAUUAUUUUCCUUCAGUUUUAGUCACUUAACUAGUUUUUGUUCUAGAAAUAGUAAAAUUACUGUGUGGUUUGUGAUCCAUUGUGCUGCAUAAACUACCAUGUAAGACUUUAAGUAUUGUGUUACUCAAACAGAUUGAAUUAUCUUAAUGAUUGGAAAAUCUAUGAAUCAUCUCAACUACAACUGGUGUGGUUAUUAGGGACCUCAGUUUUUGAGAGGCUAUGGGAUUAGGGACCCAUGCCAGUCAUUUCUCAUCUCAGAUCAUUAUAAUAUAAAGAUUUUAAAGUGACCGACACAUUUUAUUUGUGUCUGUUUUAGGUACCCCAAAUGAGCAUACAAAAAGGGUAGUGAUUUUGUCAGAGGUGAAUGAUUGAAUUUAGCAGAGAAUCAAGCAACUUCCAGAUGUCUCAAAUUAGGCUCCUAAUUUUAGUAGAGGAAUACAAGCAAAAGACCCUAAUUCAAACCCAAUAUUUUUCUUUAUGCCUAUCACUCCCUUGGAAUUUUAGAGUGUCUGCCUGUGCUGUGGGAAAGGCUAAUGCUCUGCAAAGCCAUAGCUAAGCUACAGAGGUUCAUAGCUUUUCUUAGUUAAUAAUUUUUAAUAUUUCCUCAUUAUGUCCAGUGGCUUCAGAUCAGAUGAGUUUUCCCUCUAUUUGACGGCAGAUUGCAAACAACCAUUCUACAUCAACUUUGUUCUAGAAGAAGUCCAAAUGGGGCUGCUCCUAUUAACUUUUUCAACUGAACUUUUUAAUGUGUUCAGGGAAGUUUGGUAACGUUGGAGGUGAGAAGAGUAAUAAGGAAUAAGGAAAAACCAUAAAUUCUGUGUACAGAAAAUUGUUCUGGUUGGAUGGGGUUCAAAAAAAGCAAACAAUGCAGAGCAGGGGUAGAAAGCAGACAGGAGGGUGCAGGAAGGAGCACAGCUGUGGGGAAUAAAAACACUCAGGGGAAGGUCGUAUAAGGAGGAGAAGAAAUCAUCAUCACGUGGUGAAGUUUUCAGGAAGAUUCUAUUGUAUGCAGACUUGUAAGGAGAGCUGACCUUAAAUAGGAAGAAAUAAAGGACUACUUGCUACAAAAAUGAUGGUAGGAAUUAGGCUUUGUAGGAAGAGAGGAGGGCUUGAUUUAGAGUGUGCUGUGAGAUUGAGGUCUUAUGGCUCUCUGGAAGAUGGCUUUUCCUAGCAGGAGAAGCUUGGUCAGGGGAGCAUGGCUUGAGGAAGGGCACCCUGUAGAGAAACAGAGAUGCCAAAGAUACCUGUGUGAUUCAUUGAACAUAUAUUUUUUUAUGGAGGCUUGCUCAUUCUUAAUUAUGGUGCAGAAUAUUCUCCCAUCUUUUGCCUUGGAUAUUUAUAACUGGUAGAAAAAUGCCAGCAAAAUUAUUUGGUUUACAGAAGGAAAAGCUUGUCAUGUAUUUGUAGUUGACAUUUUUUCAAAAUUACAUGAUCUUAGCAUCCAAAUAAAAUCUUAAUAUAAGCCACUCAUACACAGGUUUUAUAAAAUGCUGGCUGUGACCUGCUGAGGCAAACCUGAGAAGCAGAGAUGCAAAAUUACUAAAAUGGAUAUGGAAAAACUGUUUAAUCUGGACUUCACUGGCAUAUUGGAUAUGCCAAAGUUUCUAGCAUUGAGCUGGAUGUUAUUACUGCUAAAAAGGCAUGUUUUUUGCCUCUGGCAUUUUUUCCCUCCCUCCCCCAGGCUGUGGUGCACAAGGAUGACUUAAAGAGUCAUCCCUAAGUCUGACUGAACUUUUCAGUAACAUAUGAGCAUUGAUGCACUUUGUGUUAGCUUAUUCUCUGUGAGAGUUUUAGGUGGUUGUGGUUAAGGUACAAUGUACCAUUCUGUGCUUUUGUGUUAACUGAGAUACUCUCAGCACUCAACUGAAUGUCUUCUCUAAACAGAGAUAGAUUAAGAUGGGGGCAGGCAGGCUGCAAAAUGUGCAUCCUGGCUGUAGCAGGGCAGUCAGAAAUGCAGCUGUAAUGCUGUGGGUAUGUAGCUGGGAGUCAGCUGAGUGACAAAGUCUAAAGCAGUGACUCAAUGGGAAUCUGCUGCUGGCUUUGGGUCUGAGGUUCUAGGUUCAGUUCUGUGAGCUUUUUAAAGGUUCCCCACACUCCCCAAGGCUCUUAAGGGAUCUUUAUGGAAGACAGAUGAAAUGAGGAUAUUAAAAGCCCCGUACUUAUAGCUCAACAGAACUCAAUUCACUUGUAUCACUCUUUCAGACAACAAGGUAUAUAUUUAUGUAGGGCUUUUUGCUCAACAGUGUGGCCAUACAACAGGAUGCUCCUAAUGAAGCUACAGUUUUAGUAUCAAAAAUGUCUGGACUAGCUGGGCCUAGAAUGCAAGAAGCACAUGAAUCUCUAGGAUAUCUAGAGUAACUUGAUAGGGGCACACUUCUCUUGCAAAAGCAGUGCCACAUGUUUAUUCUGCUUAGAUUGAAAAGUAAAACAAGAGACUCUAGGAGAUGGAAUGUGUAUGAGAAGGGCCCAUUAUCAGUUACGCUAAAUACUCAAUGAAACCUGAGGCCACACAAAUCUCAACUGGUUUCAAGUUUUCUUACAGUCGAAACUCGGAUCAGGUUCCUCGAGAGUUCAAGAAUUUCUAAGCAAAACUAGACCUGCUGAAUGCAUAGAACUUGAAUAGCAGCUUUGCAGUACAUGCUCAAAGCACUUGCUAUAAAUUAAUAACUUUCCACAGCACCCAUGUGAUUUAGAGACCUUUGAUUAGCCUUCUCUUGCAAUUCAGUCCACAGACAAACGAAAAAAUGGAUUUGUUAAGGGUUUUAGUAUGGAGUGAUGCACUUAAACAUUUCAUGGGGUGACUAACCUCUAUAGGUAGACCAUCUAGAUUCCUGUCUGGCUUUUAAGUAUGCACAAACUUUUACACGUAUUGUACUGAACUGGUCACCUCAGCAAAGUCUAUUUGUGGUGAGAGUGAGAUGAUCUAUCUUCAACAAAAGCUCUGUGACAACAAUACAGGUCUUGAUUUUGGUUUGUAAAUUAUUUUUUGUUUUAGUAUACUUGAUCAUUAUACAGACAGGUGAGCUAUUAAAUGGAGUAUUUGCAUAUGAUUGAAGAUUUGCUCUGCAAAUUCUGUGAUUUUAAUCCUGGUGCUCUCACUGUUCCUGAAUCCAAUGGCUGCAAAACCUGGUAAUAUGUGUAGUGUGAAUAUUUUUGUGAACAUAUUAUAAUGUACAAUUUCUGCUAGUUGUUAAUUUCUGGCAGAAGUCCUAUGGAAAAAUGCAUUAUGGCAGCAUUGUGACACGGAGUGGCUCAUUUGGAUGUCUGAGUGUCUACACGCACAUGUCCCCUCCCCUGGGUUCCCGAAGGACUUAUACAAUGCACACGUGCAACACCAACAGGAUGGCCCCUCCAUUAAGUGACCCAACAGGAAACCAGGAGAGUUAACUCCUGCUCCUCAUUCUUUGAAACUUUCUGCCUGCAACCCUGGGAAAUCCACUGAGGAAAACUGAGGCACGUCAAAUCUAUCAGUAAAACAGGAGACCAGGGUAACUUUGUGGUUGUAUUUGAGUAAUUUAAACUGGCAAGGAAAAAUAAAUACUUUAAAGGUACACUUCAGGAUUAUUAAAAAAUGUUGUUUUGGCUGUUUUCCAAUAACAAAAGCAGAUUUGAUGGUA